rnacentral:tRNA from 2 species
GCGAAUGUGGUGGAAUGGUAGACACGCUAUCUUGAGGGGGUAGUGGCAGUAGCCGUAUGGGUUCAAGUCCCAUCAUUCGCACCA